rnacentral:misc_RNA from 1 species
CCCUAUUUAGGGAUUAAAUAUUAAAAUUAUUAAAAUCCUACUUUAUUUUUCAUUAAAAUUGGUUAAAAAUAAAAUUUAUGGUUGAGUAUAUAUAUAUAUUCCUCUACGUUUCCAUUUUCUAUAUUUUUUAAAAAUGUCAUUUCCCUGUGUUCGUUUCCGCAUUUUCCCAUGUCGGCGUUUCCUUUUGUGUGCUACAUAGUUGAAAUGUUGCAAAUAGAGAAGGAUUUGACCACCUAAUGGCUCUAUAAAUACAUCAGAGUUGCCAACAAAGCAAAUGUACAAUUCAAAUCAAAGGAUGACCAAGUGGCAACAAAUGAUACUAGGUGUUUCUUUGGAGGACAUGGUAACUGAGCAAUUCAGACAUGUGAAAUAAACUAAAUUAAAGAUCGACUUCAGUAACUGGCAAAUCAAGCAGCUAUCAGAAGUUUCAGACUGAGGAAUGAGCAAGCAUUGAUCACCACACCAGGUCCACAAAUAGGAAGCCAGUAAGAUAAUAAAGGUCACUACUCCAAAGCACUUCAUUUAGAAACAAACCAAACUAGAUAUUCUUGUGAGCUAGGAGUUAGUAGCAGUCUGUAGUUCCAAUCAUCCAGCAAGCAGUUUGCCUAUGGGUGAUCUAAAUGCAUGUCAUCAAGGUAAGGAAACUAAGUAAUUUUCAUCAAUUACUAGUUCCCUUGUAGUUUUAAUGAGUCCAGCAUAGUGAACUUCAAAGUCAUCUUAAAAGAGGUUCAUCAGGACGUUAAGGAAACAACUAUUCAUAUGGUCAUGAGUAGGUCUCAACAACACUUUGAACAACAGUAUUUUCAGAAAUCAGCCCAUAAGAUUCAACAGCAGUAGAAGGUAGCAAGAAAUU